rnacentral:lncRNA from 1 species
GUGUGGCAAAUUUGAAAACUUAUUUCUGGAAGAUAGGAAAGAACUGGACAGCAGGCUCGAGCAUCUGAACGGCAUGACGGAAAUGAGCUCCUACACUGAGCGAAGUGAUCAUACAGCUUUGGUUGCAAACCACUUGAGUGAAAAGCUGGUGAGGUUCUUCGAGGAAGAUUGUGAAUAAUGCACUGGAGUCGUCAAGAAGGGGGCAAAUACUUCAGCAAGGAUCACAGUG